GUGAAUCAUCAAAUUUUUGAACGCAAAUUGCACUCUUUUCGGAGAGUAUGCCUGUUUGAGGGUCAGUAUUAAUAAAAAUAGGUGUGGUUGCUGCCUUUCGUGGUGACGCUCCGGAUUUGGGUUGUCUCGCGUUCGGUUACGUGUCCUACAACUUUGCAUGAUUAUUUCGAAUGUAUUUAAAUGAUUUUACGUACGCUUGCGAAAUCGAAUAAUAGGUGCGGUCAUCCUCAUG
rnacentral:misc_RNA from 1 species